rnacentral:rRNA from 1 species
CCUACGGGCGGCAGCAGUGGGGGAUAUUGCACAAUGGGGGAAACCCUGAUGCAGCGACGCCGCGUGGGGGAAGAAGGGCCUCGGCGCGUAAAGCCCUGUCAGCAGGGAAGAAAAUGACGGUACCUGAAGAAGAAGCCACGGCUAACUACGUGCCAGCAGCCGCGGUAAUACGUAGGGGGCAAGCGUUAUCCGGAUUUACUGGGUGUAAAGGGGGCGCAGACGGCGAUGCAAGCAAGGAGUGAAAGGCCGGGGCCCAACCCCGGGACUGCGCUUGGAACUGGGUGGCUAGAGUGCAGGAGGGGCAGGCGGAAUUCCUGGGGUAGCGGUGAAAUGCGUAGAUAUCAGGAGGAACACCGGUGGCGAAGGCGGCCUGCUGGACUGCAACUGACGUUGAGGCCCGAAAGCGUGGGGAGCAAACAGGAUUAGAUACCCUUGUAGUC